UCCCCGUUAUCCUGGGCAGUCUCUCCAGAGUUCCCGGCAUAACCCGGUGGCAACUAAUGGCAAGGGUUGCGCUCGUUGCGGGACUUAACCCAACAUCUCACGGCACGAGCUGACGACAGCCAUGCAGCAUCUGUGCACGCUCUCUUGCGAGUCCCUUUGGUUUCCCAUCAGUACCACGUGCAUGUCAAGCCGAGGUAAGGUUCUGCGCGUUGCAUCGAAUUAAACCACACGCUCCGCUGCUUGUGCGGGCCCCCGUCAAUUCCUUUGAGUUUUAGCCUUGCGGCCGUACUCCCCAGGCGGGGUACUUCCUGCGUUAGCGCCGGCACCCAGAGGGUCGCUCCCCCAGGCACCUAGUACCCAUCGUUUACGGCGUGGACUAC
rnacentral:misc_RNA from 1 species